UACGGGGGGAGCAAGCGUUGUUCGGAUUUACUGGGCGUAAAGGGCGCGUAGGCGGUCGUGACAAGUCACUUGUGAAAUCUCCGGGCUUAACUCGGAACGGUCAAGUGAUACUGUCGGACUAGAGUACAGAAGGGGCAACUGGAAUUCUCGGUGUAGCGGUGAAAUGCGUAGAUAUCGAGAGGAACACCGGUGGCGAAGGCGGCGACCUGGGUCGAUACUGACGCUGAUGCGCGAAAGCGUGGGGAGCAAACAGG
rnacentral:rRNA from 1 species